UGAGGAAUAUUGGACAAUGGGGGCAACCCUGAUCCAGCCAUGCCGCGUGAGUGAUGAAGGCCUUAGGGUUGUAAAACUCUUUCGCCGGUGAAGAUAAUGACGGUAACCGGUAAAGAAGCCCCGGCUAAUUUCGUGCCAGCAGCCGCGGUAAUACGAAAGGGGCUAGCGUUGUUCGGAAUUACUGGGCGUAAAGCGCGCGUAGGCGGCAUGCCAAGUUGGGGGUGAAAUCCCGGGGCUCAACCCCGGAACUGCCUCCAAAACUGGCAAGCUAGAGGAUGUGAGAGGAUAGUGGAAUUCCGAGUGUAGAGGUGAAAUUCGUAGAUAUUCGGAAGAACACCAGUGGCGAAGGCGACUGUCUGGCACAUUUCUGACGCUGAGGUGCGAAAGCGUGGGGAGCAAACAGGAUUAGAUACCCCCGUAGUCC
rnacentral:rRNA from 1 species